rnacentral:rRNA from 1 species
UGAGCAAUCUGCCCUUCUCUUCGGAAUAAGCGUUGGAAACGACGUCUAAUGCUGAAUACGACCUCCUUUCGCAUGAUCGGAGGUGGAAAGCUCCGGCGGAGAAGGAUGAGCUCGCGGCCUAUCAGCUAGUUGGUGUGGGUAAUGGCCCACCAAGGCGACGACGGGUAGCCGGCCUGAGAGGGUGACCGGCCACACUGGGACUGAGACACGGCCCAGACUCAUAGGGAGG